rnacentral:rRNA from 1 species
GACGUUGGGAAAGCGAGCGGCGGAUGGGUGAGUAACACGUGGGGAACCUGCCCCUAAGUCUGGGAUACCAUUUGGAAACAGGUGCUAAUACCGGAUAAUAAAGCAGAUCGCAUGAUCAGCUUUUGAAAGGCGGCGUAAGCUGUCGCUAAGGGAUGGCCCCGCGGUGCAUUAGCUAGUUGGUAAGGUAACGGCUUACCAAGGCGACGAUGCAUAGCCGAGUUGAGAGACUGAUCGGCCACAUUGGGACUGAGACACGGCCCAAACUCCUACGGGAGGCAGCAGUAGGGAAUCUUCCACAAUGGACGCAAGUCUGAUGGAGCAACGCCGCGUGAGUGAAGAAGGUUUUCGGAUCGUAAAGCUCUGCUGUUGGUGAAGAAGGAUAGAGGUAGUAACUGGCCUUUAUUUGACGGUAAUCAACCAGAAAGUCACGGCUAACUACGUGCCAGCAGCCGCGGUAAUACGUAGGUGGCAAGCGUUGUCCGGAUUUAUUGGGCGUAAAGCGAGCGCAGGCGGAAAAAUAAGUCUAAUGUGAAAGCCCUCGGCUUAACCGAGGAACUGCAUCGGAAACUGUUUUUCUUGAGUGCAGAAGAGGAGAGUGGAACUCCAUGUGUAGCGGUGGAAUGCGUAGAUAUAUGGAAGAACACCAGUGGCGAAGGCGGCUCUCUGGUCUGCAACUGACGCUGAGGCUCGAAAGCAUGGGUAGCGAACAGGAUUAGAUACCCUGGUAGUCCAUGCCGUAAACGAUGAGUGCUAAGUGUUGGGAGGUUUCCGCCUCUCAGUGCUGCAGCUAACGCAUUAAGCACUCCGCCUGGGGAGUACGACCGCAAGGUUGAAACUCAAAG